CCCUUAGAUGUUCUGGGCCGCACGCGUGCUACACUGAGUGGAUCAGCGGGUCAGGUUACGCGAGAGCGUUUCCUAAUCUUCAAAUCCGCUCGUGAUGGGGAUUGACGGUUGCAAUUUUCCGUCAUGAACGAGGAAUACCUUGUAAGCGCGGGUCAUCAUCCCGCGCUGAAUACGUCCCUGCCCUUUGUACACACCGCCCGUCGCUCCUACCGAUUGAGUGGUCCGGUGAGGCUUUGGGAUCUAAGCGGAAAGAGCGUUUCGCUCCUUUUGCUGGGAGAACUCAGUCGAACCUUAUCAUUUAGAGGAAGGAGAAGUCGUAACA
rnacentral:rRNA from 1 species